rnacentral:miRNA from 1 species
UAUUUGGCUUGGCCCAAAAGUUUGUUCAGCGUUUUCUGUAAGAUGUUAUGGAAAAAUCCAAAUGAACUUUUGGCCAACCCAAUAUA